rnacentral:rRNA from 1 species
CAAUUAAAAACUUUAAACACUAAGUUUUUAAGUUUGAAAGAUGCAAUUGCAUCACUCAAAGAUGAUCCCGCGUUGUAUUAGCUAGUUGGUGAGGUAAAGGCUCACCAAGGCGAUGAUACAUAGCCGACCUGAGAGGGUGAUCGGCCACAUUGGGACUGAGACACGGCCCAAACUCCUACGGGAGGCAGCAGUAGGGAAUCUUCGGCAAUGGACGAAAGUCUGACCGAGCAACGCCGCGUGAGUGAAGAAGGUUUUCGGAUCGUAAAACUCUGUUGGUAGAGAAGAACGUUGGUGAGAGUGGAAAGCUCAUCAAGUGACGGUAACUACCCAGAAAGGGACGGCUAACUACGUG